rnacentral:rRNA from 1 species
AUGACGCUCCCACAACUGAAGAAGCUCGACGACAGGAGCACCCCUAUGGUGUUCAUGGGCUACGAGACGGGCUCUAAGGCGUACAAGAUGUACGACCCCGUCUCAAAGCGUGUGCAUGUCUCGCGCGACGUCAUCUUCGACGAAGAUGCGCGAUGGACUUGGGAGGCGUCGGGGGAGGCCCCGGCAAGCAGCUCCUUCACUGUGGAGUACCUGAUGUACUCUACAACCCCGGGAAGCCCGGGAGGUGUGGAUCCGGGAACCACAACCCCGAGAACACCGUCCCUGGGUACGGUGUCCCCGGACACCCCGACGUCAAGCAAGGUGUGUCCCAGGAGGCAGUUCGCAACCCCGCCAACGGCGAGGUCGGAGCUGUUCGACGCCGACGACAGCGUUGGUGCCCCCCACAGGUUUCGGCGCAUGGGGGAUCUCCUCGGCGAGGCUGCGGCAACACCACAACAGCCCGAGGAAGAGGACGUUGAUGACGACGACGUCUUGCAUCUGAUGGCCGGCGAGGAGCCGACCACAUUCGCGGAGGCCGAGCAAGAGGAUUGCUGGCGCCACGCGAUGCUGGACGAGCUGGCGUCAAUCAACGACAACGCCACUCGGACACUCACCACACUGCCUACUGGGCACCGAGCCAUCCGGCUCAAGUGGGUGUUCAAGGUCAAGAAUGACGAGAACGGCGCCAUUGUCAAGCACAAGGCACGCCUUGUCGCAAAGGGCUACGUGCAGCGUGAGGGAGUGGACUUCGAGGAAGUCUUUGCUCCGGUGGCAAGGCUGGAGUCCGUGCGGCUCAUCCUUGCCGUGGCUGCUCACCGUGGGUGGGAGGUACACCACAUGGACGUCAAGUCGGCGAUUCUCAACGGCGACCUUAACAAGGAGGUGUACGUCUCCCAGCCUCCAGGGUUCGUUGCCAAGAGCCAUGAGCAGGGCGUGUACGGGCUACACAAGGCCCUGUACGGUCUCCGGCAAGCCCCAAGGGCGUGGAACACCAAGCUCGAUGCAAGCCUCGCAUCCCUUGGGUUCUCACGCAGCGCUUCUGAGCAUGGCGUGUACUCGCGUGGCACCGCGAACACGCUGCUCAUCGUCGGCAUCUACGUCGAAGACCUGGUCAUCGUCGGGGCAGAGCCCGAAGAGGUUCGACGCUUCAAGGGAGAGAUGCAUCAUCUCUUCAGCAUGAGCGACCUCAGGCUGCUCCAGUACUACCUCGGUCUAGAGGUGAACCAGGAGGGUGGUCGCAUCACGAUCACGCAAGCGGCCUACGCCGCCAAGAUGCUCGAGCGGGCAGGCAUGAAGGACUGCCAUGCCGUGCAUGCUCCAAUGGAGGCACGACUAAAGCUUAGCAAGGAUAGCUCCGAGAAGGCGGUGGAUGCUACGCUCUACCGCGGCAUCAUCGGGAGCCUCAGGUAUCUCGUGCACACCCGACCGGACAUUACGUUCGUUGUCGGGUACCCGAGUAGGUUCAUGGAAGCCCCGGCAAGCGAUCACCUCGCUGCUGUCAAGCACCUGCUCCGGUACAUCGCGGGUACGCUCACACAUGGAUGCGUGUAUCGUCGUGGCGACGGCGAGAGCUUGGUCGGAUACAGCGACUCUGACCAUGCUGGUGACGUGGACUCCCGGAAGAGCACCUCGGGCAUACUUUUCCUUCUCAGGAAUAGUCCCGUCAGCUGGCAACCGGUGAGGCAGAAGGUUGUCGCCGCAUCUUCGUGCGAGGCGGAGUACAUCGCGGCAGCUACAUCGGCCUGUCAAGGCAUUUGGCUUGCUUGCCUUCUCGGUGAGAUGCUGAAUCAGGACACCGCCCCUGCGCUCAUUGAAAGAACAUGCGGUGCCCCCAUGUUUGGUUUUGGAGUUUAUGAGUUGACCAAGGUGCUAUUAAGGAAUUAUCCAAAGAUUGAUCAUGCGAGUGUUGAGCUUAUUGCAAGCAUGUCUUGA